UGUCAACAAGGCCAAGUGCAAGGUCCUGCACAUGGCACAAGAUACUUAUUUAAAUGAAGACUAAAACUGCAUGAUGUAAAUAACAUAAUUUGACAUCUGCUUCUUCAAGAAGGAAUUUCCACCAGCCUUUAUUAAACUAUUAAGGAGCAGACCUUGCAGUGAUAUUAUCAAGCCUUUUACUUUGAUAAAGAAGAUGGAGCUUGGCUGAACGUGGAAGUUACAGGAUGAACAAAAACCUAAAAAAAAUUACAACUUUAAGAAGUCAUCCAACGCUAUGUUAUGUGGAUGAUUUCUGAGUCUGAAAUAAGUCCAUGGGUUCAAAGAGGGCACUCGUGGAUUUUUCACUUCAAAUUCUGUGUAGCCGUGAGGACUUUCAGUUGACAUAAGUUAUUAUUUACUGAUUGUAUUUGAUUUUCAACUUUUUCUUCCACUUCUGGAUGAGAUAAAAAUAUAAAACACUGAAAAUUUGCUGGAAUGAGAAAAUAACUCUUGCAUAUGGCUAUCCAUGCAGUAAAUCUCAAACUUAGACUAGCUGCUGAAUGUCUCAAAAUCAACUUUCUUCUUUGACCCGUCUGAAGAUAGAUAAAAGAACUGAAACAUGGGUUGGUAUUCUGGGAAUUCAUUACAGUUCAGCAGUGCUUAAGGUAGCAGGUUUGGCUUUAACCAAACAUAAUACUAGAGAAAUCUUCUGCUAAUACAAGCAGAACUCUGUUACUGAUCACAGAGAGAAAGCUUGUGGCAUUCAGAAUGGUUGAUCCUAAAAAGCUGUUAACAAUAUCAAAUAAAAAAACCCCUGUGUCUACA